CCUACGUGGUGCAGCAGUGGGGAAUUUUGCGCAAUGCUCGUAAGAGUGACGCAGCGACGCCGCGUGAAUGACGAAGGCCUUCGGGUCGUAAAGUUCUUUCGACAGGGAAGAAAAUGCCUAUAAGUAACUGUGUAUGUAUUGACGGUACCUGUAUAAGCAGCCCCGGCUAACUCCGUGCCAGCACCCGCGGUAAUACGCAGGGGGCGAGCUGUGGUCGGAGUGACUGGGCGUAAAGAGCACGUAGGCGGUGUUGUAAGUAAUUAGUCAAAGACUAGAGCUCAACUUUAGUAAGGCUGGUGAUACUAUAAUACUGGAGGAUCAGAGAGGCUUGCAGAAGUCCUGGUGUAGCGGUGAAAUGCGUAGAUAUCAGGAGGAAUACCGUUAGCGAAGGCGGCAAUCCGGCUGGAAACUGACGCUGAGGUGCGAAAGCGUGGGUAGCAAACAGGAUUAGAGACCCUUGUAGUC
rnacentral:rRNA from 1 species